rnacentral:tRNA from 2 species
GGGCCGUUAACUCAGUUGGUAGAGUAUCUGCCUUUUAAGCAGAGAGUCGCUGGUUCGAGUCCAGCACGGCCCACCA